rnacentral:rRNA from 1 species
GGGUAACGGCCCACCAAGGCAACGAUCAGUAGGGGUUCUGAGAGGAAGGUCCCCCACAUUGGAACUGAGACACGGUCCAAACUCCUACGGGAGGCAGCAGUGAGGAAUAUUGGUCAAUGGGCGAGAGCCUGAACCAGCCAAGUAGCGUGCAGGAAGACGGCCCUAUGGGUUGUAAACUGCUUUUAUAAGGGAAUAAAGUUAGUCUCGUGAGACUUUUUGCAUGUACCUUAUGAAUAAGGACCGGCUAAUUCCGUGCCAGCAGCCGCGGUAAUACGGAAGGUCCGGGCGUUAUCCGGAUUUAUUGGGUUUAAAGGGAGCGUAGGCCGGAGAUUAAGCGUGUUGUGAAAUGUAGACGCUCAACGUCUGCACUGCAGCGCGAACUGGUUUCCUUGAGUACGCACAAAGUGGGCGGAAUUCGUGGUGUAGCGGUGAAAUGCUUAGAUAUCACGAAGAACUCCGAUUGCGAAGGCAGCUCACUGGAGCGCAACUGACGCUGAAGCUCGAAAGUGCGGGUAUCGAACAGGAUUAGAUACCCUGGUAGUCCGCACGGUAAACGAUGGAUGCCCGCUGUUGGUCUGAACAGGUCAGCGGCCAAGCGAAAGCAUUAAGCAUCCCACCUGGGGAGUACGCCGGCAACGGUGAAACUCAAAGGAAUUGACGGGGGCCCGCACAAGCGGAGGAACAUGUGGUUUAAUUCGAUGAUACGCGAGGAACCUUACCCGGGCUUGAAUUGCAGAGGAAGGAUUUGGAGACAAUGACGCCCUUCGGGGUCUCUGUGAAGGUGCUGCAUGGUUGUCGUCAGCUCGUGCCGUGAGGUGUCGGCUUAAGUGCCAUAACGAGCGCAACCCCUCUCCUUAGUUGCCAUCAGGUUAAGCUGGGCACUCUGGGGACACUGCCACCGUAAGGUGUGAGGAAGGUGGGGAUGACGUCAAAUCAGCACGGCCCUUACGUCCGGGGCUACACACGUGUUACAAUGGCAGGUACAGAGAGACGGUUGUACGUAAGUACGAUCAAAUCCUUAAAGCCUGUCUCAGUUCGGACUGGGGUCUGCAACCCGACCCCACGAAGCUGGAUUCGCUAGUAAUCGCGCAUCAGCCAUGGCGCGGUGAAUACGUUCCCGGGCCUUGUACACACCGCCCGUCAAGCCAUGAAAGCCGGGGGCGCCUAAAGUCCGUGACCGCAAGGAGCGGCCUAGGGCGAAACUGGUAAUUGGGGCUAAGUCGUAACAAGGUA